CAUGCAGCUGGUGGAGUGCACCUGCUGGUCUGCUGCUGGCCUCCGAUGAAUUAAUUAGAUAGAUAGAUUAGAUAGAUUAGAUUAUGUAUAUGCACGACGAUGCGUUCUAAUACUUAUUCUUAUAGUUAUUAUCCACAUAUUGCUAAGCAGUCUGGUAAUCGCGUUUAUGUAAGGUUUACAUGUCGUGCUUGCAACGUUGCGACUGUAUUAGUAAUAACUCGUUAAUAAACGCCAACAUUAAUGUCGGCGUUUAUUAACGACUUAUUACUGUUACACAAUGUUAACGAAUUAUUGCUAUUACAUAAUAUUAUAUAUCACAGGAACGGCACUCUAUCUGCCAGGAAAUUGAACGAGGGCCCGUAUGAUGUGUGAAACAGGGGGGUGUAUCUUCGCCCGUGGCAGCUACCCUGCGAAACCCUGCCUUCCCCGGAAUUUCGGGGCACCCUCAUCCAGUCACCCCUAGUCAACUUCUCAGUGGUUCGCACAGAUUCCGCACCCACUACCAGCAUCCAACGGAAUCUGCCGGGUCAACAGCGGCUCAACUCUAUUCCUGGUCGGCUCGCAGGUUAACUUAAUCCCAGGUCACCAACGUCCAACAACUAGGGGGGCAAUGCCUUCCACCAUCGGAAGGUCUUUGACCCUAACGAGUAUCGAUCCCGGGAUUGGUCGCGCCUUACCAGUGGUGCCAAACCCUAUAUAUGCCCUAUAUAUGCCCAUAUGUAUGUCCAUGUAUGUAUUUAUGUAUACCUGGAAAAACCUGCAGAAGCUGCAGUGGAGAGCUGACAUCGCAAGGCCUCAUGUACCAGGUAGUAGAAGUGCUGCUAGCAGCAGAACUACCACUACUGCCAGAGGGCCCCUCAACAGUCGUAGUGGCGCUGCUGGUAUCAGUGGCGGGUACCUCGACACACAGGGCGGGUGUGUCGUAUGAAGAAAUGCGAAACCUGCAGUAUGCAUGAAGACAAUGGUUACCGAGUUAAGCUUUUCAGCUGUUCCAGUGUAAGCGCAUGCACUACACAUACAACCUGCGUGAACAUACGUCCACGCGUGCAAAAGGUAUAUCCAGUAUUCACGUUAGGAAGUUGUUUGACGCGUUACUGGUGCAUGCCGUAGAUACGGUGGUGAAUCCAUAGGUGGGUUCGUCGUUGCUCACACGACUUAUCUAUAUCUUAGGUCCUAGGGUUUAUGUUCGUUUAUUGUCCGGCGGCUAUUGUCUGGCGGCUUAUGUGUGCUCGCUCCUUGCCUGCCGACCAGUAUCAUCAGCUUAGCAGCAGCCUUAUGCUCGCUGCGAAUUCAUCAACGGAACGAUCUUUGCAUCUGCAUGCAUAUGCAGACGGGCCUAGUAGGUACUAUCUACUGCCCGGCAGGCAGCAGAAGGGCGGGCCUUAAGCUUGCCAGCCCCCCGGGCCUGCCUUACCAGGUCCAUUCAGUUUGCAGCCCACUGUAAACAAGCGAAAACGCUUGGUGAGGGACGUUGCUGCAAGCCUGUAGCUCAAGCUUCCGUGCAGUAGUACUACUGUUUGAGAUAGCAGCUGUUGGACUUGCAGUCGACAUCACUUCUGCUUUCACCAUUAUUGAAGAUCCGCCGCCAAGGCAGCGCCCGUCAGCAGCCAUAAUGCGCACAUAUCCCGGGAAACCUAGACGGAU
rnacentral:lncRNA from 1 species